UACAGAGGUCCCAAGCGUUGUUCGGAUUCACUGGGCGUAAAGGGUGCGUAGGUGGCGGGGUAAGUUUGAUGUGAAAUCUCCGGGCUCAACCCGGAAAAUGCAUUGAAUACUACUCUGCUUUGAGGUUUGGAGGGGGGACUGGAAUUCUUGGUGUAGCAGUGAAAUGCGUAGAUAUCAAGAGGAACACCAGUGGCGAAGGCGAGUCCCUGGACAACACCUGACACUGAGGCACGAAAGCCGGGGGAGCAAACAGG
rnacentral:rRNA from 1 species